rnacentral:rRNA from 1 species
UACGAAGGGGGCUAGCGUUGCUCGGAAUCACUGGGCGUAAAGGGCGCGUAGGCGGCGUUUUAAGUCGGGGGUGAAAGCCUGUGGCUCAACCACAGAAUGGCCUUCGAUACUGGGACGCUUGAGUAUGGUAGAGGUUGGUGGAACUGCGAGUGUAGCGGUGAAAUGCGUAGAUAUCUGGAGGAACACCGGUGGCGAAGGCGGCAUCCUGGACCAACACUGACGCUGAGGAGCGAAAGCCAGGGGAGCAAACGGG